GGUUUCGAAAGUCUUGAAAGGAGGUCGGUUUAAGUGAUUGCUUUAUCAGUUUACUCAUGAAACUAGGGCCCAUCGAAUAUAGAUUUCCAAUUGCGAAGAUUUCAUGAAGCAAUGGGGUUGAGCCAAUGAUUUGUCAAAAGAUGAAGAUUGCUUACAUGUGUACAACGAUAAUUACAGAAGCGGAAGAGAUCUUCCCUGUUUGGCUCCUCUAUUCUCGGAGUUAAGAGACUCUAACACGCUGAGAAAGAUGACAGUCAAAGUGAAAGGUGUGUUAUUCAUUUGAAAAGGUAGAUGCUUAU
rnacentral:lncRNA from 1 species